AUGGCUUGGGGACUCUGCAGGUGUAGAUUGCCUGGGGACAGUCAAGGGGUGGUGAAUGCCUUGAUUGUCCAAACAAGCCCGAGCAGACUGGCAGGCGCCAGCGCGGUGACGUCACCCAUUCAUCCGAGCUUUGACGCCUGUCAGCCUGGCGCCGCUCGGGCGGUCUCCAUGGAGACGUCAAACAAGAGCGCUCACACUCCUCAGUUCACCUGGGCGGCGCGCGGACCCCUGAGAAACCGGCUCCGGAGCUCGGGUCGUUCAUUUGGCACCUACCGCCCAGCGCACCUGCAGCCAGGAGGAGGGCUCGGCAUGAUGUUGUUACCGCAAUUUAACACUAAAUAACUGGUGCAUUCCAUCACUGCCCACUUUCACUAGUGUGUGCCACCUUGGUCACUGUAAAACUGUGUGACAUUUGGGUUUGUACGUUUCUGUUCAUUAGCAGGAGUUUAUCUUCCCUGUCAGUGAUGGAUUAUUGUGUAGAUCUAUAAAGACUACACCGUGCCUGGAACUAAUUUAUAGAAUAUGAAGGCAUACUAAAAUAAUAAUAAAAAAACAUGCAUUUAUAUUAAAAGAAAAAAACUACAAAAAAAAGAGAAAAACAUUUUACUUUUACUGACUGUUUUACCCAUUUUCAGUCAGUUCCAUUAUCAUGGUGGGUUUAUAGUAAGAUCAUAUCAGUAAUAAUGAUAAACACUCCAAUAAGUAGCAUAAAACUUACUCGAGUAAAAGUACUAUGAUCAACACAAUGUACUCUAAUGGCCAAAAGUAUUUAUUGCACAGUACAAUGGACCCUGUGAGUGUUACUUUAUUUUAUUUUAUUAGUGGAUCAUCAUUUCCCACACAUUAAGGUGUAAGCAGGACUUUAUUAUUGCAGAUGGCCAGUCAUUUUCCUACUUUAUAUGCUGCUGGGUGUUUUAAUCUAUAACUGCAGCAUAUUAAAAGAUUAUGUCUCACAUAUAAAGUCAGAAUAUGUGAAGUAAUUAGUAACUACAGCUGUGAAACCAAUGCAGUGGAGUAAAAAGCAC
rnacentral:lncRNA from 1 species